rnacentral:rRNA from 1 species
CCUACGGGCGGCAGCAGUCGAGAAUCAUUCACAAUGGGGGAAACCCUGAUGGUGCGACGCCGCGUGGGGGAAUGAAGGUCUUCGGAUUGUAAACCCCUGUCAUGUGGGAGCAAAUUAAAAAGAUCGUACCACAAGAGGAAGAGACGGCUAACUCUGUGCCAGCAGCCGCGGUAAUACAGAGGUCUCAAGCGUUGUUCGGAAUCACUGGGCGUAAAGCGUGCGUAGGCUGUUUCGUAAGUCGUGUGUGAAAGGCGCGGGCUCAACCCGCGGACGGCACAUGAUACUGCGAGACUAGAGUAAGGGAGGGGGAACCGGAAUUCUCGGUGUAGCAGUGAAAUGCGUAGAUAUCGAGAGGAACACUCGUGGCGAAGGCGGGUUCCUGGACAUUAACUGACGCUGAGGCACGAAGGCCAGGGGAGCGAAAGGGAUUAGAUACCCGGGUAGUC